CCCUUAGAUGUUCGGGGCCGCACGCGCGCUACACUGAAGGAAUCAGCACGUCUUUCUCCUUGUCCGAAAGGACUGGGUAACCCGCUGAACCUCCUUCGUGCUAGGGAUUGGGGCUUGUAAUUCUUCCCCAUGAACGAGGAAUUCCCAGUAAGCGCGAGUCAUAAGCUCGCGUUGAUUACGUCCCUGCCCUUUGUACACACCGCCCGUCGCUACUACCGAUUGGAUGGUUUAGUGAGAUCCUCGGAUUGGUCCCGGAGCGGCCUCUGGUCGUGCCGGAGUGCCGAAAAGAAUGUCGAACUUGAGCAUCUAGAGGAAGUAAAAGUCGUAACA
rnacentral:rRNA from 1 species